AUUGAACGCUGGCGGCGCGCUUAACACAUGCAAGUCGAGCGAGAACCAGACCUUCGGGUCUGGGGACAGCGGCGAACGGGUGAGUAACACGUGGGUAAUCAACCCUCGGUACUGGGAUAGCCCGGGGAAACCCGGAUUAAUACCGGAUGGCCCUUCGGAUCUUCGGUUCUGAAGGAAAAGGUAGCUUCGGCCUCCGACCGAGGACGAGCCCGCGGCGGAUUAGCUUGUUGGUGGGGUAACGGCCUACCAAGGCGGCGAUCCGUGGCUGGUCUGAGAGGACGAUCAGCCACACUGGGACUGAGACACGGCCCAGACUCCUACGGGAGGCAGCAGUGGGGAAUCUUGCGCUAAUGCGGGAAACCGUGACGCAGCGACGCCGCGUGAGGGAAGAAGGCCUUCGGGUUGUAAACCUCUUUCAGGAGGGACGAAGCUACUCGGGUUAAUAGCCCAGAGGGUGACGGUACCUCCAGAAGAAGCCCCGGCUAACUACGUGCCAGCCGCCGCCGUAAGAC
rnacentral:rRNA from 1 species